GUCGAGCUCAGUAACGCGGGCUUGUGAUCCAAGUGGAGACUACAGGGUGAUGGAACGUUCGAUCGAUCCACUGGGCCGGGUUCGGGCGGGCUUUAAUCUGGCCUGCCCAUUCCAAGUUGGGAGUUGAGGCAUGGGAUUUGAGCGAAGGCUUGGAUCAUAUGCCUCUUAGAGUGGGGGAGAUUGCGUAAGGCUGGUUUCACAGAGCAGCGUCAACCUCCCGCUCUCGACGGUGGAAGGAUAACGGGCCGUUGCCUUUCGAGCCCACUAUGACCCAGUAGGCUGAUCUAAUUGAACCAUCACUUUU
rnacentral:SRP_RNA from 1 species